rnacentral:rRNA from 1 species
AACGUAGGACGCAAGCGUUAUCCGGAGUUACUGGGCGUAAAGCGCGGGCAGGCGGCUCGAAACGUCUGAUGUGAAAGCACCCGGCUCAACCGGGUGAGGCCAUUGGAAACGGUCGAGCUGGAGGGCAGUAGAGGUAGGCGGAAUUCCGGGUGGAGUGGUGAAAUGCGCAGAUAUCGGGAGGAACACCAAUGGCGAAGGCAGCUCGCUGGGACGUUACUGACGCUGAGACGCGAAAGCGUGGGGAGCAAACAGG